CCUACGGGAGGCAGCAGUGAGGAAUAUUGGUCAAUGGGCGCGAGCCUGAACCAGCCAAGUAGCGUGAGGGAUGACUGCCCUACGGGUUGUAAACUUCUUUUAUAAAGGAAUAAAGUGAUGCACGUGUGCCUUUUUGUAUGUACUUUAUGAAUAAGGAUCGGCUAACUCCGUGCCAGCAGCCGCGGUAAUACGGAGGAGGCGAGCGUUAUCCGGAUUUAUUGGGUUUAAAGGGAGCGUAGAGGGGUUGUUAAGUCAGUUGUGAAAGUUUGCGGCUCAACCGUAAAAGGGCAAUGGAUACUGGCAGCCUUGAGUACAGGUGAGGUAGGCGGAAUUCGUGGUGUAGCGGUGAAAUGCUUAGAUAUCACGAAGAACUCCGAUUGCGAAGGCAGCUUACUAAUCUGCCACUGACAUUGAUGCUCGAAAGUGUGGGUAUCAAACAGGAUUAGAUACCCGAGUAGUC
rnacentral:rRNA from 1 species